rnacentral:lncRNA from 1 species
UGUAUCUAGGGUUAGGAGAAUGUAUCUAGGGUUAGGGUUAGGAGAAUGUAUCUAGGGUUAGGAGAAUGUAUCUAGGGUUAGGAGAAUGUAUCUAGGGUUAGGAGAAUAUAUCUAGGGUUAGGAGAAUGUAUCUAGGGUUAGGGUUAGGAGAAUGUAUCUAGGGUUAGGAGAAUGUAUCUAGGGUUAGGGUUAGGAGAAUGUAUCUAGGGUUAGGAGAAUGUAUCUAGGGUUAGGGUUAGGAGAAUGUAUCUAGGGUUAGGAGAAUAUAUCUAGGGUUAGGAGAAUGUAUCUAGGGUUAGGAGAAUGUAUCUGGGGUUAGGAGAAUGUAUCUAGGGUUAGGAGAAUGUAUCUAGGGUUAGGAGAAUGUAUCUAGGGUUAGGAGAAUGUAUCUAGGGUUAGGAGAAUGUAUCUAGGGUUAGGAGAAUGUAUCUAGGGUUAGGGUUAGGAGAAUGUAUCUAGGGUUAGGAGAAUGUAUCUAGGGUUAGGGUUAGGAGAAUGUAUCUAGGGUUAGGAGAAUGUAUCUAGGGUUAGGGUUAGGAGAAUGUAUCUAGGGUUAGGAGAAUAUAUCUAGGGUUAGGAGAAUGUAUCUAGGGUUAGGAGAAUGUAUCUGGGGUUAGGAGAAUGUAUCUAGGGUUAGGAGAAUGUAUCUGGGGUUAGGAGAAUGUAUCUAGGGUUAGGAGAAUGUAUCUAGGGUUAGGAGAAUGUAUCUAGGGUUAGGAGAAUGUAUCUAGGGUUAGGAGAAUGUAUCUGGGGUUAGGAGAAUGUAUCUGGGGUUAGGAGAAUGUAUCUAGGGUUAGGAGAAUGUAUCUGGGGUUAGGAGAAUGUAUCUAGGGUUAGGAGAAUGUAUAGAUAAUGAUAUUAAAUCAAUUGAACAUGACUUAAAUGUAAGACAAAUACAUUGUGUGUGUGUGUGUGUGUGUGUGUGUGUGUGUGUGUGUGUGUGUGUGUGUGUGUGUGUGUGUGUGUGUGUGUGUGUGUGUGUGUGUUUAG